rnacentral:rRNA from 1 species
UACGAAGGGGGCUAGCGUUGCUCGGAAUUACUGGGCGUAAAGCGCACGUAGGCGGCGAUUCAAGUCAGAGGUGAAAGCCCGGGGCUCAACCCCGGAACUGCCUUUGAAACUAGAUUGCUAGAAUCUUGGAGAGGUCAGUGGAAUUCCGAGUGUAGAGGUGAAAUUCGUAGAUAUUCGGAAGAACACCAGUGGCGAAGGCGACUGACUGGACAAGUAUUGACGCUGAGGUGCGAAAGCGUGGGGAGCAAACAGG